GGACUGCUCGGGGUUAGGCUGGGCAUCAGUCAGCGAGUGGCAGUAGUUAUUAGCUACCUACAGCUUGUAAAUGCAUAGCUGUAUGAUUAGAAUGAAGUACGACCUCAUCUCUCUUAACAUAAGCAGUCCAUUUCAGGUAGACAUGACAAAAAUGAGAUUGAAUGAUGACUCCUUUCCCCUCAAUGGACAACUGGAAAGACAAAUGAGAGUGGCACAAAGGAUUGAACAUGCAUUUUUAGUGUCCUCCUCUCAAAAAAUAGUCAGCAGAACUGAAAAACGUUCAGAGAAGGGCAACAGAAUAAUUAAACUUACAGAAAAGCUUCCAAAAGUUGAAUGAC